UCAUUCAAUAUUUUUUUUUCGAUGUAAUUUUUGCUCUUUCGUGUAUUUUUUAACGAAUAAGAAUAAUGUGUUAAGAGUUCAAUGUGAAUCGUAUCGUCGUGUGUUCGUGCAGACGUGCAAUUGUUUAAAACUACAGCAAUAAACUGUUUUUGGUGUAAAAUCUACAAGCAAAGCGCGUAACGAAAAUUGCUAAAUAUCCGAACCGAAACAAAUCUAACAAAACAGUAACCGCAACAACAACGAACCUACGAUAAAAAAAAAACAAAAGUCGACGUAAACGUUGACGUAGAAAUUAACAAAAAAAACAGUAUUCGUUUAUUCACUCUCCCGGUUUUACGUACGCUCUUAUCAAACAACAAUCAAAUAAAAGUGCGUGUGUAAUCCGACCAACAAGAAGCAGAAGAAGGAAAAGCAGCAGACUCCAUCAGAAGAAGAAGCGGCAACAGCAGCAACAACUCCUCAACUUCAGCGAAAGAGUGAGAGAGAGAAAGCUUAGUUUGUGUUUGUGUGUGUGCGACAGAGUGAGAGAGUGCACCACAAUAGCCAGUCAAGAUGACGCAACCGCUGCCCAUACGCUUUCAAGAGCAUUUACAGCUCACAAAUGUUGGCAUCAAUCCGAACUCGUUCUCGUUCAGCACGCUCACAAUGGAGUCGGACAAGUUCAUCUGUGUGCGGGAGAAGAGCAACGAUACCGCCCAGGUGGUCAUCAUUGAUAUGAACGACUCAUCGAAUCCAACGCGACGUCCCAUUUCCGCCGAUUCGGCCAUCAUGAAUCCGGCCAGCAAGGUGAUUGCGCUCAAAGCGCAAAAGACGCUGCAGAUCUUCAACAUUGAGAUGAAGUCGAAGAUGAAGGCGCACACGAUGAACGAGGAUGUGGUGUUCUGGAAAUGGAUAUCCCUCAAUACGCUCGCUCUGGUGACCGAGACGAGCGUGUUCCAUUGGUCGAUGGAGGGUGAUUCGAUGCCACAGAAAAUGUUCGAUCGCCACUCAUCGCUCAACGGCUGUCAGAUCAUCAACUAUCGCUGCAAUGCAUCGCAACAAUGGCUCCUUCUCGUUGGCAUCUCGGCGCUGCCAAGUCGCGUCGCUGGCGCCAUGCAACUGUAUUCGGUGGAGCGUAAAGUGUCGCAAGCGAUUGAGGGACAUGCCGCUAGCUUUGCCACCUUCAAGAUCGAGGGCAACAAGGAGCCGACGACGCUGUUCUGUUUCGCUGUGCGCACCGCCACCGGCGGUAAGUUGCACAUCAUUGAGGUGGGCACACCGCCAAAUGGCAAUCAACCGUUCCCGAAGAAGGCAGUCGAUGUAUUCUUUCCGCCGGAGGCGCAAAAUGAUUUCCCCGUGGCAAUGCAAGUUUCCGCCAAGUACGAUACAAUCUAUUUGAUAACCAAAUAUGGAUACAUACAUCUGUACGACAUGGAGACGGCCACGUGCAUCUACAUGAAUCGCAUAUCGGCCGAUACGAUUUUUGUGACGGCACCGCACGAGGCCAGCGGCGGCAUCAUUGGCGUCAAUCGCAAGGGUCAGGUUCUGUCCGUAACCGUCGAUGAGGAGCAAAUCAUCCCGUACAUCAAUACCGUGCUGCAAAAUCCCGAUUUGGCAUUGCGUAUGGCGGUGCGCAACAAUCUCGCCGGCGCCGAGGAUCUCUUUGUGCGUAAAUUCAACAAGCUCUUCACCGCCGGCCAAUACGCCGAGGCGGCCAAAGUCGCAGCGUUGGCUCCGAAGGCCAUUCUGCGGACCCCGCAGACGAUUCAACGUUUCCAGCAGGUGCAAACGCCGGCUGGCUCGACGACGCCACCGUUGCUCCAAUACUUUGGCAUCCUUCUCGAUCAGGGCAAACUGAACAAGUUCGAAUCGCUCGAGUUGUGUCGUCCCGUCUUGUUGCAGGGCAAGAAGCAAUUGUGCGAGAAAUGGCUGAAGGAGGAGAAACUCGAGUGCAGCGAAGAGUUGGGUGAUUUGGUCAAGACAUCCGAUUUGACGCUCGCCCUCUCGAUCUAUUUGCGCGCCAAUGUGCCCAACAAGGUGAUACAAUGCUUUGCCGAGACCGGACAAUUCCAGAAGAUUGUGCUGUACGCCAAGAAGGUGAACUACACGCCCGAUUACAUUUUCCUGUUGCGCUCCGUGAUGCGCAGCAAUCCCGAACAGGGCGCCGGAUUCGCUUCGAUGCUCGUCGCCGAGGAGGAACCGCUGGCGGACAUCAAUCAGAUUGUCGACAUUUUCAUGGAACACUCGAUGGUGCAACAGUGCACCGCAUUCCUCCUCGACGCCCUCAAGCACAAUCGUCCCGCCGAGGGAGCGCUGCAGACGCGUCUGCUCGAAAUGAACUUGAUGUCGGCCCCACAAGUGGCGGAUGCCAUCUUGGGCAACGCCAUGUUCACGCACUACGAUCGGGCGCACAUCGCUCAGCUGUGCGAGAAGGCCGGACUCUUGCAGCGUGCCCUCGAGCACUAUACGGAUCUGUAUGACAUUAAGCGGGCGGUGGUCCAUACGCAUAUGCUCAAUGCCGAGUGGUUGGUCAGUUUCUUUGGCACACUGUCGGUGGAGGAUUCCCUCGAGUGUUUGAAGGCCAUGUUGACGGCGAAUUUGCGUCAGAAUUUGCAGAUUUGUGUGCAGAUCGCCACCAAAUAUCACGAGCAAUUGACCACAAAGGCGUUGAUUGAUUUGUUUGAGAGCUUCAAGAGCUACGACGGUUUGUUCUAUUUCCUGAGCAGCAUUGUCAACUUCUCCCAGGAUCCCGAAGUGCAUUUCAAGUACAUUCAGGCCGCCUGCAAGACCAAUCAAAUCAAGGAGGUGGAACGCAUCUGUCGCGAAUCCAAUUGCUAUAACCCGGAGCGUGUCAAGAACUUCUUGAAGGAGGCCAAACUGACCGAUCAGCUCCCCUUGAUUAUUGUCUGCGAUCGCUUCGAUUUCGUGCACGAUUUAGUGCUCUAUUUGUAUCGCAACAAUCUGCAGAAAUACAUUGAGAUCUAUGUCCAGAAGGUGAAUCCAUCGCGUCUGCCCGUCGUCGUUGGCGGUCUGCUCGAUGUCGAUUGCAGCGAGGACAUUAUCAAGAACCUCAUCCUGGUGGUCAAGGGACAAUUCUCGACAGACGAACUGGUCGAGGAGGUGGAGAAACGCAAUCGCUUGAAAUUGCUGCUGCCCUGGCUGGAGUCGCGUGUCCACGAGGGUUGCGUCGAACCCGCCACGCACAAUGCGCUGGCCAAGAUCUACAUCGAUUCGAACAACAAUCCCGAGCGUUUCCUCAAGGAGAAUCAAUACUACGACAGCCGUGUUGUCGGUCGCUAUUGCGAGAAGCGUGAUCCCCACUUGGCGUGCGUUGCCUACGAGCGCGGUCAAUGCGAUCGCGAGUUGAUUGCCGUCUGCAAUGAGAAUUCGCUGUUCAAGAGCGAGGCACGCUAUCUGGUCGGACGUCGUGAUGCCGAACUCUGGGCCGAGGUGCUAUCGGAGGCCAAUCCCUACAAGCGUCAGUUGAUCGAUCAGGUGGUGCAGACCGCACUCUCGGAGACUCAAGAUCCCGAUGACAUUUCGGUCACUGUUAAGGCAUUCAUGACCGCCGAUUUGCCCAACGAAUUGAUCGAGCUGCUGGAGAAGAUCAUCCUGGAUUCGUCCGUUUUCAGUGAUCAUCGCAAUCUACAGAAUCUGCUGAUCUUGACCGCCAUCAAGGCGGAUCGCACACGCGUCAUGGACUACAUUAAUCGAUUGGAUAACUACGAUGCACCGGAUAUUGCCAACAUUGCUAUCAGCAAUCAGUUGUACGAAGAGGCUUUUGCCAUUUUCAAGAAAUUCGAUGUAAACACUUCGGCCAUCCAAGUGCUGAUCGAUCAGGUGAACAAUUUGGAGCGUGCCAACGAGUUUGCCGAGCGUUGCAAUGAGCCAGCCGUUUGGUCUCAGCUUGCCAAGGCGCAGCUGCAACAGGGUCUGGUCAAGGAGGCCAUCGAUUCGUACAUCAAGGCCGAUGAUCCCAGCGCCUACAUGGAUGUCGUCGAUGUUGCUAGCAAAGUGGAGUCAUGGGAUGAUCUGGUGCGUUAUCUGCAGAUGGCACGCAAGAAGGCCCGCGAAUCGUACAUUGAGAGUGAACUGAUCUAUGCGUAUGCACGCACCGGACGUCUGGCCGAUCUGGAGGAGUUCAUCUCGGGACCGAAUCAUGCGGACAUCCAGAAGAUCGGUGAUCGUUGCUUCAGCGAUGGAAUGUACGAUGCCGCCAAGCUGUUGUACAACAAUGUCAGCAAUUUCGCCCGACUCGCCAUCACGUUGGUCUAUCUGAAGGAGUUCCAAGGCGCCGUCGAUUCUGCCCGCAAGGCCAACUCGACGCGCACCUGGAAGGAAGUGUGCUUCGCCUGUGUCGAUGCCGAGGAAUUCCGUUUGGCGCAAAUGUGUGGACUGCACAUUGUGGUGCAUGCCGAUGAGCUCGAGGAUUUGAUCAAUUACUAUCAGAAUCGUGGAUACUUUGAGGAGUUGAUCGCGUUGCUCGAGUCCGCCUUGGGAUUGGAGCGUGCUCACAUGGGCAUGUUCAGUGAGCUGGCAAUAUUGUAUUCGAAAUUCAAGCCAUCGAAGAUGCGCGAACAUUUGGAAUUGUUCUGGUCGCGUGUGAAUAUCCCGAAGGUGUUGCGUGCCGCCGAAUCGGCGCAUUUGUGGUCCGAAUUGGUCUUCCUCUAUGACAAGUAUGAGGAGUACGAUAACGCGGUGCUCGCGAUGAUGGCACAUCCCACGGAGGCAUGGCGUGAGGGACACUUCAAGGACAUCAUCACCAAGGUGGCCAACAUUGAGCUCUACUACAAGGCAAUUGAAUUCUAUUUGGACUUUAAGCCGCUGCUCUUGAACGACAUGCUGCUGGUGUUGGCUCCACGCAUGGAUCACACACGUGCCGUCAGCUAUUUCUCAAAGACCGGCUAUCUGCCGCUGGUGAAACCAUAUCUCCGCUCGGUGCAGUCGCUCAACAAUAAGGCAAUCAACGAGGCCCUCAACGGGCUGCUGAUCGAUGAGGAGGACUACCAGGGGCUGCGCAAUUCGAUCGAUGGUUUCGACAACUUUGACACCAUUGCGCUGGCGCAGAAGCUCGAGAAGCACGAGCUCACCGAAUUCCGUCGCAUUGCGGCCUAUCUCUACAAGGGCAACAAUCGCUGGAAGCAGAGCGUUGAGCUGUGCAAAAAGGAUAAACUGUACAAGGACGCCAUGGAGUAUGCUGCCGAGUCGGGCAAACAAGAGAUUGCCGAGGAGCUCUUGGGUUGGUUCCUGGAACGCAAUGCGCACGAUUGCUUUGCGGCAUGUCUAUAUCAGUGCUACGAUUUGCUGCGUCCCGAUGUGAUCCUGGAACUGGCAUGGAAACACAAAAUCAUGGACUUUGCCAUGCCCUACUUGAUACAGGUGCUGCGCGAGUACACCACGAAGGUGGAUAAACUGGAGCUGAAUGAGGCGCAGCGUGAGAAGGAGGAUGAUACCACGGAGCAUAAAAACAUAAUACAAAUGGAGCCACAGCUGAUGAUAACAGCUGGGCCAGCAAUGGGCAUACCACCACAAUAUGCAACAAAUUAUCCACCUGGCGCUGCGGCAGCGGCAGCAGCGGCUGCGGCAGCGGCAGGACGCAACAUGGGCUAUCCCUAUAUGUAGGCACACACUCCAACCAACCAACCAACUAAACAACCCAACCAACAACACAUACAGAAUCAUACAACAAUUGUAGCUGUAACAACUAUAACAACAACAUCAACAACAACAACAGCAGCAGCAAAACACUACAAAACAACAACAAUUGAGAAUGCCCACAACAACAACAAUUCACUAAUUCUAUUUGCAUGAGCGCCAAAAACAACAAAUAACAACAACAACAAUUAAGAGAGUGCUAAAUAAACGACCAACUACAACAACAACAACACUGAGAGCACGCGUAGUGAAUAUAAUCUAUAUAUAUAUAUAUCUAGUUAUAUAUUUAUUUGUUGAGUCACAUACAACAUACACAACAACAACAACAACAACAACAUACACACAACAUUAUAAUGAUUAAUAAUAUAAUAACAAUUCGCUACAAAAGCAACUAAGCGAACAACAACAACAACAGCGCGAACUCAACAACAGCAACAACAACAACAUGAAGCAGAUAAACAAUAUAUAGAAAGCGACAACAACAACAACAAAAACUAGUGUUCAACAAAAAGAGAAAGAAUGGUCGUAGUUUAUUAUUAUUAUUAAAAUUAUUACAUUUUAAGCAUAAAACACAACAAGAAAACACAUAAAACAAACAUUUAUAUAUAUAUAUUUAUUAAUAUAUAUAUAUAUGCAUAAAUAUAAAUACAAAUUAAAUAAAUAAAAUUUAUUAAUUCAUCAAGAAAAUCAAACGGAAGCAAGAAAACAUGGAAAUGUGUUUAUGUUUGAGACGCAACAACAACAACAACAACACAAAA